rnacentral:tRNA from 1 species
GGCUGGGUAGCAAAGUGGUUAUGCAGCGGUUUGCAAAACCGUAGACGCCGGUUCAAUUCCGACCCCAGCCUCCA